rnacentral:rRNA from 1 species
AACUAAAAUUAGCUCAAAACAUAUCAAAAAAAUACUACCCCCAGACAUUAAAACAAAACAUUUAUAAAAUUAAAAGUAUAGGCGAUAGAAAUUCUAUUUGACGCUAUAGAGAAAGUACCGCAAGGGAAAAAUGAAAGACAACUUAAAAGUAAGAAGAAGCAAAGAUUAACUCUUGUACCUUUUGCAUAAUGACUCAGCCAGAAAACAUUAGCAAAAAGAAUUUAAGUUAUAUGCCCCGAAACUAGACGAGCUACCCACUAGCAGCCUAAAGAGCAAACUCAUCUAUGUGGCAAAAUAGUGAGAAGACUAAUGGGUAGAGGCAACAAACCUACCGAGCCUAGUGAUAGCUGGUUGUCCAGAACAGAAUCUUAGUUCUAAUUUAAACUUACCAUAAAAAUACAAAUUUAAAUGUAUGUUUAAAUAAUACUCUAAAAGGGUACAGCUUUUUAGAAAUGGGAUACAACCCCUAUCAGUGAGUAAAUAAAAACCAUUCAACACCCUAGUUGGCCUAAAAGCAGCCAUCAACCAAGAUAGCGUUCAAGCUCAAUAAUUCAUAAAAACUAAUUCCAACUAUAAAUAAUAAUACUCCUGACCUAAAACUGGACUAUUCUAUUUUUAAAUAGAAGCAAUAAUGCUGAUAUAAGUAACAAGAAACAUUUCUCCCUGCAUGCGUGUAUAUCAGAACGAAUGAGUCACUGAUAAUUAACAAAUAUAUAAUAUAACCCCACUGUUAAAAAUUUAAAUAUAUUGUUAAUCCAACACAGGUAUGCCAUCAAGGAAAGAUUAAAAAAAGUAAAAGGAACUCGGCAAACACAAACCCCGCCUGUUUACCAAAAACAUCACCUCUAGCAUGAAAAGUAUUAGAGGCACCGCCUGCCCAGUGACCUUAGUUCAACGGCCGCGGUAUCCUGACCGUGCAAAGGUAGCAUAAUCACUUGUUCUCUAAAUAAGGACUUGUAUGAAUGGCUCCACGAGGGUUUUACUGUCUCUUACUUUUAAUCAGUGAAAUUGACCUUCCCGUGAAGAGGCGGGAAUAAAAAAAUAAGACGAGAAGACCCUAUGGAGCUUCAAUUAAUCAAUUCAUAAGUUAAAAUAAAAUUCUAUUAGAUACAAACAUGUCAUUACUGAAUUGAAAAUUUAGGUUGGGGUGACCUCGGAAUAGAAACCAACUCCCGAGAAAAUUUCAAUUAAGACAAACAAGUCAAAAUUAUUUAUUAUACAUUGAUCCGUUUACCUAACGAUCAACGAAACAAGUUACCCUAGGGAUAACAGCGCAAUCCUAUUUAAGAGUCCAUAUCGACAAUUAGGGUUUACGACCUCGAUGUUGGAUCAGGACAUCCCAAUGGUGUAGCAGCUAUUAAUGUGUUCGUUUGUUCAACGAUUAAAGUCCUACGUGAUCUGAGUUCAGACCGGAGAAAUCCAGGUCGGUUUCUAUCUAUCUUAAAGUCUCUCCCAGUACGAAAGGACAAGAGAGACAGGGCCCACUUAAAAUAAGCGCCCUAUAUGCAUAGAUGAACUAAUCUUAAUCUUACUAUAAAUAACACCACCCAAGAAAAGGGUUA